rnacentral:lncRNA from 1 species
CGCGCAGCCCCGCCGGCCCAGGCCCCGCCUCCCGCCGGGCGCGCUCCUCACCCCGCAGCCCCCAGCCCGCUUCCGCCUCGACGCCAGGAGGCUCCGGACUCGCCUGCCCGCGGCCUCCGGGCAGGUUUGUACCAGAGGACGAUAAAAUCCGUUGAGGUCAGCGACAGGGCAGGGCCCACCCCAAACCCUCUGUUCUGCCAGCAUUUGUAGAGUUUCCUGCGCUGAAGCAGAACUCCUGCCAGAAAAAGGGUUACUUUCCUCUUUGUGUCUGUCAUCUUCCCGCUCCCCUGGGAGCUCUGAACAUCUUCAGAACAGCCUCUGGGACUUCCUGGGAUGUCCCCUCCCUGGGACCCUAGGGUCGCAGGGCGCUGCGGGCUUUACUGGCGGAGUGUCCGCUCUGUUAGGAAUCAGGUGGAAAGACGACACGUAAUCUAAUCUCUUAUCCUAAUGAGUCACUGAGCUUGUUUUCCCUUUUUCCCUUUCAAAACUGUCAAGGGCGAGCAGAAUCCGCAAAGCUGGUCUCUCUCUGGACAGGAAUCCACCUUCUCCCCCAGAUUGCCGGCUUUUCUGACUAAAGCAUCUUUCUCUUCAGCAGACACACGCCCCUCCACUAUUGGCUCUAGGAGGGAAAAGCCCAGAAGAAACUCUCACCUACUCACACUCGACCACGCUGCUCAGGGCGCCGGCGGUGUGGGUGCUCUGGAAUUUCUCGCCCCUGAAUCUCCACUGGACACGAAAGCCGCUGUUAGGGUAAGACCGGAACCUCGACUCCAGGAAAUCUCGUCCUUCCGCCCCAGAAGAGGAGCCUGGGCCUCAGAUUCCAGCGUCUGAGGAGACCCCCCCAGGUCCUCACCCUUUGCCGCCGGCCGGGCUCCUCCGGGUCGAAGGUGAGACUCGCAGCAGCAACUCCGAGUCCGGACCCUUGGUCUCCCCUUGGACCUGCGCCAACGAGGAGAUGCCCCCCCCCCGCCCCCGGACGUGACCAGAUGGAAACACGUUCAUUCCCUUCUGCUCCGGAGAAAUAUUUAGUCAGGAGCCCCAAGGACGUCUUACGUAGUGAAAAUAUUCGCCGCCAAAUCAUAGUUUGGGAACUUAGGAAAUACAACUUAUGCAAAAAAAAAA